AACGGCCUGCUAUGCGCGUGAUGCAUCUGCUUAUUUGAGCCAAUAACGUCACAUUGGGGGCCAUACUUCUGGAAGGGGUGUGUAUGCCACAACCAGUGGAAACGCGCUAAACGGACAGAGGGCUCCCACUUGGUCACCAGACCAAAUUAAGCGAGCACACGGCACGGCGGGCCAACG
rnacentral:other from 1 species